AUUUGCUCCUAUUUGCGUCGUUGUUCUCUCUGUCUCUCUUUCUCUUGCUCUGCAACUCCAUCUACAAAAAAAAAAAAAAGCAUUGAUAGAAGGAGAUGAACACAUUAAUGGAUAGUUUCCAUUAACAGUUUGGUGUGUUGUUGAUGUGAUUGAAAUUGUGUGAUUAAUUCUUUGAAGACAGCAAUUGAAGAUCGGAGGUGGAAAGAGUGAAGAAGAAUAGGAUUAUGAACGGAUUUUGUGGUAAAGAAUGAUUUUGAUGGAGUUGUUGUUGUGGUUAAGAAUGAUUUGGUGGUGCUGGUGUUGCUUGCUAGUGGUGUUGGUGUUGCUUUCUGGUGAUGUUUGCCGGUGGUGAGGUGGGUAUUUAGAAUAAUAGAUGGCUGAAGUAAUGGAAAAGAUGGUAAGGAUUCUAUGGGUUGGAAGGAGCUGCUGUGGAUUCUUGAACUGAUGAUGUAGUUGGUUGAAGCACUGGCGCUGAUGAUGAUGCUUUUACUACAGAAAUUGCAGGUCAUACUGGUAAUGAAAUUGGUAUAACUAUUGGUGUUGUAUGUGAGAUUGCAAUGGUUUGCUGAGAGAAUGGAAUUGAAGACAGUGGUGUUGUGGUAGUUUUUGAUUGCAGUGGUGAUUUGAAAUGAUGAAGAACUGGAGGCUUUGGUUGCUUUUGUUAUUUAUAGAUGAAUGUUUAGGACAGGAUAUGAGUUGUUGUAGAUGGUUUGAACUGAAAUGGUUAUGAACCGGUGGUUCAAGAGGGUGCAACAAUUCAGAUGGAAAUGGUUGUUGUGCAGUGGUGUUUGGUGGUCUGGUAACGCAGGAAAUUGGUUAUGCAAUGGUUGUGGUACAGGUGCAAUGGCCGCUGAUGUUUGAAUGGCACCGGAAAUUCAGCCCAGUUCAGGAUCUGUGACACCACAUUCACACAAGGGUUCAUGGCUUCUUCUCUUGAGGUAUAGCUACCUCCACCACCACCGGUAUCACCACUUCAUCACCAUCACCUCAACAACUGAGGAGGGGUAUUUUAGACAAAAUUCAGACUGUUUUUUCAAAAACAGUCAAGUCGGAUGGAGAAAUAUCUUUUUGUAAUCACUAAUUUAAAGUAUGAUCAUUUGUAAAACAAAUUAAGAAAGUGUGACGAUUCUGUAAAACACCCAUAUUGAAUUUAUACGUAUUCUUGAAAUUGACAUAA